rnacentral:misc_RNA from 1 species
GAUGAAGAACGUAGCGAAAUGCGAUAAGUAGUGUGAAUUGCAGAAUUCAGUGAAUCAUCGAAUCUUUGAACGCACAUUGCGCCCCUUGGUAUUCCAUGGGGCAUGCCUGUUCGAGCGUCAUUUGUACCUUCAAGCUCUGCUUGGUGUUGGGUGUUUGUCUCGCCUCUGCGUGUAGACUCGCCUCAAAACAAUUGGCAGCCGGCGUAUUGAUUUCGGAGCGCAGUACAUCUCGCGCUUUGCACUCAUAACGACGACGUCGAAAAGUACAUUUUUACACUCUUGACCUCGGAUCAGGUAGGGAUACCCGCUGAACUUAAGCAUAUCAAUAAGCGGAGGA